CAGUGGCGGGGGGAGGGCCAAGGGCGGGCCCAAAGCCCUGUUGCGCAGCGACACCUGGACCAUCCAGAGGACUGAGUCGGGAUACGAGAGCAGCGACCGGCUGAGCAGUGGCUCCACCAACCCUGACUCGCCCGGGGUAGACAGCUUUGCUGGGAAGGAGCAGCGGUUGACACCAGAGGUGCAGUCUCAGAGCAGGGGUCAACUUCACCCAAACAGAUGUGAUUCAAAACCUGAUGCGGUACACUCCCCUUUGCAUCAAGGCAAACAUCAACUGACAACUCAGGGAAAGAACUGCGACCAUCAAGUUUCACAUCUCCUGAAAAGUAGUCCAAGUUCAAGGUAAUGUACCAACUUGGAUAUUGUUAUUAUUGAUAUGUUUAAUGUUGUUAAUUGUCAAUGUGUACAUCCAUAUUUUGUGCUCUUAAAAGGUCUAUUGUGUUCUAUUCUAUUGUAUUCUAUUCUACAGACGAAAAUGUAGAUACAGCUCCGGCAGUUCUAAGAAAGGAGCUGGUCCAGAGAGGGACGCUAGCUCCUCAGACAACAGGAGCAGUCACAUGAUGGCAUCGCCAGAGAUGAGUAACAACAACAGAGGUGGUCACCAUGGCGACAGCCCCGCCCUGCGGCGCUUGGGUAAAACCAGCAGCUCGGAGUGGAACAGCUCCGACGACCUGGCUGGAAAUCUCUCGGAACCAGAGGACAGUGCCUACCGCUCCAGCAACAUCAAGCCCCUUCUGUCCGAGUCUCCCUGCCCCUGUCCCCCCCACCACCUGGCCUUCCACCAACCUCCCCAUAUCGAACUGGAAGAGCCCUCAUCUCAACAUCAGCCCUCCAUGCCGCCAUUGCCUCACCCUAAAGCCGCCCAGCGAGCCUCCCCUCACCAGGGGGAUGUUGGCCACCAUUGCUUCCGUCCCAGGCUACUCCAAGAGCCCUCCCAGACCAGCCCCAGGCCCAGCGUCCGGCCCACCCCGGCCUCACAUACCCCCAGCCCCAACCAGAGGUCGGAAUCCAAUGGCCCUCUGCAGAGGCCCUCAUCGAGUGCCAGCUCCAAGUCAGGCUCGGACCCAGAAAGGAGCAACCCAUCGUCGGGCGAAAGCGAGGAGAGGUUCCCCAUCUGCAGGCCACCUGGAGCCGAGUUAGCGGAAGCCCAAGGGGUUUCCCUCACCACGUACUUCAGCGUGGACAAUUGCAUGACAGACACGUACAGACUUAAGUACCAUCACCAGCGACCCCUCCUACUCUCAGCUAUCGUGCCCAAAGCACCAACUGAGCCCCGAGAACAACCCAGCCACCACCUGCACCCCGCAAAUACACACUCCAUGCUAGACCCACCCAAAACCCGGCCUGAUGCAGGUCAUAACAGCAAUAAGCCCACUGCAAAAUGGAACCCAGUGACAGCCAAAGGACUGGAUGAGCGUGGCUAUUUGUGAUGAAAUUACCUG
rnacentral:lncRNA from 1 species